rnacentral:rRNA from 1 species
UACAGAGGCCUCGAGCGUUAGGCGGAAUCACUGGGCGUAAAGGGUGCGUAGGUGGCGGGGUAAGUUUGAUGUGAAAUCUCCGAGCUCAACUCGGAAACUGCAUUGAAUACUAUUCUGCUAGAGGGUUGGAGGGGAGACUGGAAUUCUCGGUGUAGCAGUGAAAUGCGUAGAUAUCGAGAGGAACACCAGUGGCGAAGGCGAGUCUCUGGACAACUCCUGACACUGAGGCACGAAAGCUAGGGGAGCAAACAGG